GGCUCAGGAUGAACGCUAGCUACAGGCUUAACACAUGCAAGUCGAGGGGAAACGAUAUUGGAAGCUUGCUUCCGAUAGGCGUCGACCGGCGCACGGGUGAGUAACGCGUAUCCAACCUGCCCACCACUUGGGGAUAACCUUGCGAAAGUAAGACUAAUACCCAAUAAUAUCUCUAGAAGACAUCUGAAAGGGAUUAAAGAUUUAUCGGUGAUGGAUGGGGAUGCGUCUGAUUAGCUUGUUGGCGGGGUAACGGCCCACCAAGGCAACGAUCAGUAGGGGUUCUGAGAGGAAGGUCCCCCACAUUGGAACUGAGACACGGUCCAGACUCCUACGGGAGGCAGCAGUGAGGAAUAUUGGUCAAUGGGCGAGAGCCUGAACCAGCCAAGUAGCGUGAGGGACGACUGCCCUAUGGGUUGUAAACCUCUUUUGAUUGGGAACAAAGAGCGCCACGUGUGGUGCGUUGCGUGUACCUUUCGAAUAAGCAUCGGCUAAUUCCGUG
rnacentral:rRNA from 1 species